CCCCCACAUAGUCGGCGUACCCUAUUGACUCACUAUAUUAGAACAAACCGGCCAAGAUAUAAAAAGUAUGUAUGUUCUCGCAUAGAACUAACGCCGGCAUCAUCUACUAAGGAGAUACAGACAAGUCAACGGACACUCUUGAAAAUAAUAUGGUUUCGGCUGCAAAGGCGAAAUGACGUAUGCAAAACCAAACUACACCAGAACCGAGAAAUCGAACGGCUGGUAUUAGACAAACGACGCCUACGAAGGGAGUGGCAGUCCAAUAGAUCACCAACUACAAGGCACAUGCUUAAAAUAGCCAUACGCAUACUAGACUAGAAGACUUCAAUUAUGCCUCUACGAAGUCCCUCUAGCACCUGAUUUCGCAGUGAUGAGGAAAGAGCCAGUGCUUUCGCUGACCAUUUACAAAAUGUAUUUCGACCAAAUCCCGUUACCAACUCAUUUAUUCUCCCUCCUUUAAUAGAAGCAAAUUUAGAACAUUAAGAACCCAUUGAAUUCCGACCAUGUGAAUUAGCAAAGGUUAUCAAAGAGAAACUGAAGCCAAGAAAAUCAUCUUGCUCAUUGAACUCCCAAAGUGUGCUAUUACUUGUUGUUCAACGCAAUCGUCAAGUUUGGAUACUUCCCUCAAAAAUCGAAAAACUACCAUAGUAAAAAAAAAAAAAAAGCCAGGACAAGAUAAAACGCAGCUAUCAUCAUAUAGACCGAUAAGCUUACUAACUUGUCUCUCAAAGUUGAUUGAAAAAAGGCUACUCCUGCGAAUUAGCCCUCAUCUUAAAAUAAACAACACACUCCCAACACAACAAAGCUCAUAUAUAACUCCGUCUUAAAACCUAUUUAGACUUAUGGAUCCGAGCUGUGAGGCAAAGCAUCCAGAAGUAACAUUAUUCAGCGAGCACAGUCAAUAAUUUUGAGAAACAUCACUGGAGCGCCGUGGUACCUACGUGUCCAACACUUGGCCACCCGAUAAAUAACCAAAAUUAAAGUAAACACAACCUCCACUUGGAGACCAAGCCAUGAUCAACUUAUUGCGCUUCAAUCAAACUGCAUCAGCAGCAAAUUUCAAUUUCACAAGACGGUGAAAUAAUUUCAGCAUAAAGCUUUUAUCCCAAACUUAACUGAAAGUUCAAAAUGUUCGAAUGAAAAGCUUCUCUGGCCGAGAUUGAUUGGAUCAGGAUUAAGAAUCAGUCUGAAUCGGAAUGAGAUCGUGAACAGCUUCAAAUCAAAGAUGAGCUAAUACCUAAAAAUGAAAAUAGUAACCGAAGUAAUAACUGAGAAGAAAAUAGAAUACCUAGAAAAGCUGACCACCCAUCCAAAUCCCCUCGCAAGAAAACUAAUCCCAGUAUGCUGUCAAAGCCGGCUGCACCGCAACGACCAACCAGCCCAGCAAUAAACUUAUUAGGACAUUAAUCACGAACAAUAUCACUAACUGAAUGUUAACUAGCUAGAUUAAGAUUUGAGUACUUGUUAUUAGUCUCUCAAAACAAAUGGAAAAAAAUUAAUAAAUAAUAAAUAAAUUUCGCGUUCGCA